GCCUCGGUGGCUUAGAGGCAAGAGCGCCGGCCUACGGAUCCCGUGUGGCGGGUUCGAAUCCCGGCCGAGGUG
rfam:Ixodes scapularis strain Wikel colony gcontig_1107728690698, whole genome shotgun sequence.